rnacentral:lncRNA from 1 species
CUCGUCAUGCUGACCCAGCACACCUCAUAGACCCCUUGAGGACUGUCAAGUACCAGAUUAACGACCGUCUCUUCACAGGAAGCAUCAUAAUCAGAGGUUCCUGCAACUUAUCCUUUUGUCUUUCUAUGCCCCUUGGCAGUCAUUAUCCUACCUGACCGUUUUAUCUCUUUUUUUCGGUUUAGGCAUUUCAUGCAUUGCUUUUCUUUUUCUUUUUUUCUUUUUUUUUUUUUUUUUUUUUUUUU